rnacentral:misc_RNA from 1 species
GAUGAAGAACGUAGCGAAAUGCGAUACGUAAUGUGAAUUGCAGAUCUCUCAGUGAACCAUCGAAUCUUUGAACGCACAUUGCGCCCGCCAGUAUUCUGGCGGGCAUGCCUGUCCGAGCGUCAUUUCAACCCUCGGGCCCCCCUCUGCGGGCGGCCCGGCGUUGGGGCUCAGGCGCCGUCUCUGCUCGGCGCCUGUCCCCUAAAUGCAGUGGCGGCCUCGCCGCUGCCUCCUCCGCGUAGUAGCACAAACCUCGCGGCUGGAAGGCGGCGCGGCCACGCCGUAAAACCCCCCAACUUUACCAAGGUUGACCUCGGAUCAGGUAGGAAUACCCGCUGAACUUAAGCAUAUCAAUAAGCGGAGGA